rnacentral:rRNA from 1 species
AUGGAGCUCCACGUCUUUCGGGAGGUCUUCUCCAGGGCGCCCGCUCAUGUGGAGGCUUCUGGGUUCACGGGGAAGCACGGCAGGACCUUCAGGGUGGCCGUGACGUUGCUGCUUCCCGGUGCUCACUUCGUGCAGAUGUGCCCCGAGGCGAGCCUCAAGGUCCUGCCGCCUCCGCUGUUUCGCGGCGACCACAUGGUCAGGUGCAUGCCGGAGGAGGCCUUGUCAUGGAAGCGCCUGGUGUGUGUGCAUUAUCAAAUCAGACAGAGCAGGAAUAACGGUGAUCCUUUCGAUUUGGAUAUCAAGGUGAGUAUUUAG